ACUCAAGGCAUUGUCUCCAGGCAGAGUGGUCCUCGAUCAGAACUACCACUGUGCAUGUCAAUCUGAUUCCACGUGGAUAUCAAUACUCGAAACAUACUGACAUCAAAUUAAUAAUUGUGUUUCGGUUCGUUGUUUCGCCAGUUUGGUUAAGGAUUGUUUGUAUAGAUUGAGAGUCUUGCAAUAGAAGAAGCUGCUGUAGAGAGAAAAUUUCAUCCAUGACAUUGUUUGACAGAUUUAAAAUUUCUCGACCAUGUUCGUGACAGUCAAGUUCGGAGACGAACAGAGUCGUCUCUUCAAUGCCAACUGCAGGAACGAUGUUCUUCUACAGCACAUCAAGAAACGCUGUGAUUGCCAUAGAGAGGGUAAGACUAAACACCCAAAAAUAAUGUCCAAACCUGAAGUCACACAAUACCCUGCAACACUGGUCCUGUUUAAUAUUGACACAGACCCCUUACCUACAGAAUCACAAUUACACAAUCUACAAUUCUAUAUUUGCUUAAACAGGUGGUUGUAAAUAUUUAAAGCUUUUUUUUCUAAUUAAGAUGUAAGAUAAUAAUGGCCGCCGGUAGCUGAUUGUUGUAGCGGUGGUUAUUAAACGAUUAGAAGAUAUUACAGAGACUAUCUUGUCACGUCAGGCGAUUGGAUCCCCCUGUCGUGUGCGGGGGUAUAAAACAAAUGGGCUUUUCCCCCUGUGUUCAAUAAUCCUCCCGGGAUCCUGUUACACCAAAAUAUGACGCUAUCUGUGACGGGGUUCUCUAAAUCUGUAAAAGAGAUCUCUGAAGGCCAAGGAGCAAGGUUUACAUUGUAUCAGUUACAGACCUAUGUAGGUACCUUGUGAGACCAGUUAGAGUAAGGUUAUAACGGCUCUUUUAUUUACCUGGGGAUCUCUAAUUUCCUUUAUAUUACCGACUAGACUUGUUCCAUGUACAAAAAAAAUCAUCCAUGACAUCAUGUGGCUUAUAGCAUCUCGCGCAAACGUUCGUUAACUGUUGCUUUGGUUUGUCUCGAAAUUGCAACAAACCGGCAAACGCAUUAAACGUCAAACGUGGUGGCAACUUAUCUCUUUCAUCCUGUUUAUUUUUUCUAAUAUGCAAAUUAUAGGAUAUAUGAAGGAUACAUGUAUGUCGGUCUGGGUUUUAACAUUAAAUAUGAAAGGGGGAUCCAUGUACCAAGUGCCGAAAGAUUUCAUAAAUUAUUCUAUAGAAUAUCAGUUUUUUGUUUCAUAUCACAUUGUGGUUUGAUGGAGCUGGUCUGGUUCUGUUGUAGACGAUGUGGAGCUCUCCGAUGAGAAGGGCGUGGUCAAACACCUGCGGGAAUUCCCCUAUGACUAUGGGAUCGAUCAUCUGAAGGAACGGGAGACCCUCAUUCUUCUGAAAGUCGACGGUAGCUCCUUUGGGGACGAGAACGAGUCCACGAUGGGGGACAGGCUUACCUUUAUUCCUCUCCUGACCGGCAUGGAAGGAAACCAGGAAUUUAUGGAACUCAUCAAUCCCCGCCCCCAAUCAAGGCAGUCAAGGAAGGGCUCAGGGCGUGAGGAUGAGCGGCGCGGGAAACCCAAGGCUGCAAAACCUGCCCCCACCUCCAAACGACAAUCAUCGAAAUCAGGCGGGAAAAAGUCCUGACGGGCGGCUGUCCGCGGUGUGUUCAUUGUUUACUGUACAUGGUUAAAUGUGUGUUAUAUCUGUUCAAAUGUAUUAAAUGUAAUUUGCAUAUGU
rnacentral:misc_RNA from 1 species